rnacentral:rRNA from 1 species
AAAGCUCGUAGUUGGAUUUCUGUGGGGACGGAGCGGCCGGCCGCAACACGCGGUUCGAGCUAGCGCUUUCCCUACAUCCUGCCGCGAACCGUGCUACCAUUAGUUUGGUGGCGCUGGGGAUCGGCUCGAUUACUUUGAGAAAAAUAGAGUGUUCAAAGCAGGCCACACGCCUUGAAUAAGUUAGCAUGGAAUAAUAACUAAGGACUUCGGUUCUAUUUUGUUGGUGUUCGGGACUGAAGUAAUGAUUGAUAGGGACAGUUGGGGCGGUCAGUAUUCCAAAGCGAGAGGUGAAAUUCUUAGACCUUCGGAAGACUAACAGCUGCGAAAGCGUACCGCAAGGAUGUUCCCUUUGAUCAAGAACGAAAGUUGGGGGAUCGAAGACGAUCAGAUACCGUCGUAGUCUCAACUAUAAACUAUACCAGCUAGGGAUCGGCCAACGUUAUUCUAUACCGACUUGGUCGGCACCUUAUGAGAAAUCAAAGCAUCUGGGUUCCGGGGGGAGUAUGGUCGCAAGGCUGAAACUUAAAGGAAUUGACGGAAGGGCACCACCAGCCGUGGAGCCUGUGGCUUAAUUUGACUCAACACGGGAAAACUUACCAGGUCCAGACAUAGUAAGGAUUGACAGAUUGAUAGCUCUUUCUUGAUUCUGUGGGUGGUGGUGCAUGGCCGUUCUUAGUUGGUGGAGUGAUUUGUCUGGUUAAUUCCGUUAACGAACGAGACCCCAGCCUGCUAAAUAGCGCGAGUGAGCUUUGCUCGCUGCGAGCUUCUUAGAGGGACUAUGAUGCGCGAUAGCACAUGGAAGUUUGGGGCAAUAACAGGUCUGUGAUGCCCUUAGAUGUUCUGGG